rnacentral:rRNA from 1 species
AGAGUUUGAUCCUGGCUCAGGAUGAACGCUGGCGGCGUGCCUAACACAUGCAAGUCGAGCGAAGCACUUCAUUAGAACUCUUCGGAGGGACGAGGAAGUGACUGAGCGGCGGACGGGUGAGUAACGCGUGGGCAACCUGCCUUACACAGGGGGAUAACAGUUAGAAAUGACUGCUAAUACCGCAUAAGACCACAUUGCCGCAUGGCAGGGUGGUAAAAACUCCGGUGGUGUAAGAUGGGCCCGCGUCUGAUUAGGUAGUUGGCAGGGUAGAGGCCUACCAAGCCUACGAUCAGUAGCCGGCCUGAGAGGGUGGACGGCCACAUUGGGACUGAGACACGGCCCAAACUCCUACGGGAGGCAGCAGUGGGGAAUAUUGCACAAUGGGGGAAACCCUGAUGCAGCGACGCCGCGUGAGUGAGGAAGUAUUUCGGUAUGUAAAGCUCUAUCAGCAGGGAAGAAAAUGACGGUACCUGACUAAGAAGCCCCGGCUAACUACGUGCCAGCAGCCGCGGUAAUACGUAGGGGGCAAGCGUUAUCCGGAUUUACUGGGUGUAAAGGGAGCGUAGACGGUGAUGCAAGUCAGAAGUGAAAGCCCGGGGCUCAACUCCGGGACUGCUUUUGAAACUGUGUGACUGGAGUGCAGGAGAGGUAAGCGGAAUUCCUGGUGUAGCGGUGAAAUGCGUAGAUAUCAGGAGGAACACCAGUGGCGAAGGCGGCUUACUGGACUGUAACUGACGUUGAGGCUCGAAAGCGUGGGGAGCAAACAGGAUUAGAUACCCU